CUCGUACCUCGAUUUGCAACGGCAUCCUUUUGUGAUGAGGAACGAAGAGCAAAGAUAUAGCGGAAAGCGGGAUUAGCU
rnacentral:misc_RNA from 1 species